GCCGAGAUGGCGGAGUGGUCAAUCGCUACGGUCUGUAAAACCGUCGCCCGUACGGGCUACGUAGGUUCGAACCCUACUCUCGGCA
rnacentral:tRNA from 1 species